ACGGGCGGCCAUUACGGGCGGCCAUUACCCGGCAGAGGAAGAGUUCUUGAGGAGGGAAGCACUCUCCACCCCUCCUGUCUGCUUUGGGGAAAAGAGAAUACAAGAUAAGGGAGAAGACGGGAGGAAGAAGAGGGACAAGUGAAGGGGGUACAGAGGGAAAAGGACAGCAGUGAAAGGCUAGAGCGUGCAGGGGGCCGGCGGCCAUGAGGGCAGCAGUGUGGAGCAGGAGGGUGGGCGCUGGGGUAGGGGCAGCUGCCCCUGCUUGGAGGCAGUAUGUGCUGCGCCCCUCCGCUAGACACUGUGGGUGUGCUCGGAGUACAGAGACCACACAGCCGGGUAAGCCUGUGCCAUCCUGGAUCCCCACGCUGCACAUCACCAGGUCCACCACAGAUCUUCCAGGAAGACCGCGAUGAACAGAAGCACGGCCCUGGGGCUUGGGCGCACUGGUCCUAGGACACUGGCUUCCUGAUUACCGGGGGAGGCAGUCAGCAGAAGGUCGACCCAGAGACCUCCGGAGCAACUGGGAUGUAUUGAUGACUGGUGUGAGAGAGCAUGUGGGGUGGAGCGGCCAGAUGAUCCUAAAUUUCUGACACUCAGCAAAAUAAAGCUUGGAAGGCUGGGAAUCUUUGAUAGCUUUGAAAGCACUUGCUUCUUCAAGAGCUCUGUUUCCAGAACUUACAGCAGGAAACGGUUGCAUUUUGGGGUCCUACCUUAAAGCAGAAUAAGACUUGGCUACUCAGAGAAGGUAGGAAAACAAAAUGUGGAGGUAUGUGACUUUUCAACAGACAGCUCCUGAGAGUGACUGGAAGCUGAAAGAGCCCUCCCCUGAGGAAAGAGUGCUAACCUCUGAGAGUUGUCAAGGAGGAGAGACGUCCACCAGGCACAUCAAGUCUACUCUGAGGAGGCAGCAAUUGCCUUCAGUUUGAGAGAAGUUCAGAAGGCAUGCUGAGCCUCCCCCAGGAUAAUCUGAGUAUGUUUCCCGAUGAAAAAGAUACUUUGCUGCCUGGAUUGUUCUGUGAUAAGCACUCUUAAAGAUCAUAUUCAGUGAAUUGCAAACUUCUCAGAAGGAGAAGGUAGAUGAAGAAAAGCCACAAAGACAUUAUAAAAGAAGAUCCUGAGGACCUGGGGGAGGAGUGGUCCAGCCUCAGGUCAGUCGUGGCCGCUCCUUCUGCCACCAUGGUCCUUGUAGAUGAGGUAACUGAUGAAAAUGAUACUUAUACAGAAAUUAUCACUCCAGUGACGAACAAUCAGGAUGAAGAAGAAGAUUGCAUAGGAUGCUGCUUCCGGAUCCAAAGGAACAAUCGACAGACGUCACAAAGAUCCACCUCUGGCUGCAUCAGAAAGUUAUGCUCCUGGCGCCACCAGCGAGUGCACCCCGCUAAUGGGUCGGGGACAGAAGAAACCCCGGGCUCCCAUGAAAGGCUGCCCAGCACCGCAGGAGGAAUAGAGGCUCCAAGUGGCUGCACAAUGCCGGCCGAUGACGCAACUAAUAAUAAUGGCAUGGCUUUGGAGCGCCCCACUCCAGUGACAAACAAUCGGGGUGAAGAAGAAGAAGAUUGCAUAGGAUGCUGCUUCCGGAUCCAAAGGAACAAUCGACAGAUGUCACAAAGAUCCACCUCUGGCUGCAUCAGAAAAUUAUGCUCCUGGCUCCACCAGCGAAUGCAACGGGCUAAUGGGUCGGGGACAGUUCACCCUCGGCAUAUUUUGGUGAAGGAGUACAGCAGCUCAGAAGAUAUUCCAUCUGACCCCUCACUCAUGUUGUACGAGUGGCCUUACAGAAGCGAAUUUAUUGCGGAGAGCGUUGGCAGCAUCACUAACGAAGAUGAAGAAUGUUACAUGGCAGAUAACGAGAAUUCUGACAAGGAAAGCAGAAUUAAGCGGAAGCGGAAACGCUCCCUGUUCCUGCGUUUAAGAAAAGCAUUUGGGGGGACAGCCUCCGAUGCCGAUGAUGAGCACACCUAGGAAGAGGCAGUGUCGAUGUGGCAGACCGGGGGUGCAAAGAUUGUCAGUUUGGCAUCAAUGACAACCUGGAUGUGAACACCCCCAGCCUACGCCUCAGCACAUCCAUACCAUCAGGACCUCCACCUAAAUAAGUCCAGAAGCAGCCUCACUCAAUGCUCACCUCCUAGGGCACCUCACUUAGUAUAAUCUCCGUUGUUUAACUGCAUAGAUUUAGUGUAUUAGUUAUAUCCCUAGUUUUAUCUUUUAGUUUUCUCUAUAUGUUCUAUAUGUUCAAUAUUUAUCUCUAUGUUCUGUCUUUAUGAAAUAAAAUGUUU
rnacentral:lncRNA from 9 species